ensembl:snoRNA small nucleolar RNA U85
GCCCACUGAUGAGAUUAUGGCAAGUUUGAUGAUCUACUAAGACCAAGAGAUUGUGGACUCUUACCUGCUGAUUGAUGGGUAGUCUUGGUAGUGUGAUGGAGUUUUAUUGCAUGGCUGUAAGGGCCCAUCCACAGUGAACUUGUCGCCUUCUGCAACGUCUGCCACCCCAAGAGCAAUGGGACUGGACAGUUGGGAGGUGUCAAACAAUGUGCAAAUGUUUGUUUGUGUCUGUUGUUGUAUGUAUGUAUAUGUAUCAGCUUGUAAGGGUCUAUAUACUUGGUCUCACAGAAAUGAACUACUCUUUGGUAAUCUGAGGGCA